rnacentral:rRNA from 1 species
AACGCGAAGAACCUUACCUGGGCUCGAAAUGUAGUGGAAUCGGGUGGAAACAUCCGCGUCUCGCAAGAGACUGCUAUAUAGGUGCUGCAUGGCUGUCGUCAGCUCGUGUCGUGAGAUGUUGGGUUAAGUCCCGCAACGAGCGCAACCCUUAUUGCCAGUUGCCACCGGGUUAUGCCGAGCACUCUGGCGAAACCGCACAGGAUAACUGUGAGGAAGGUGGGGAUGACGUCAAGUCCUCAUGGCCUUUAUGUCCAGGGCUACACACGUGCUACAAUGCAUGGUACAGAGGGACGCAAGACCGCGAGGUGGAGCAAAUCCCACAAAACCAUGCCCAGUUCAGAUUGAAGGCUGCAACUCGCCUUCAUGAAGCCGGAAUCGCUAGUAAUGGCGCAUCAGCUACGGCGCCGUGAAUACGUUCCCGGGCCUUGUACACACCGCAUAC